rnacentral:piRNA from 1 species
UAGGAGGAUGACAUGGAGGAGGACGACGA